GAUCAUUACUGAAGAAAUGCGUAGUUAGUUGAGCUGACUCCCUUAGGGGGAGUAUGUGCUCGCUAUAUCGCUUUUUCUAACUCUCUCCACUGUGCACCCUAUUGUAGGCUAUGAUAAGGUUCAGAAAGCUUUCAUGCAUUCAUUCAUUAUGUUUGUUUGUUUGCUUUCAACUUUGUAGCCUAUGUCUUACACAAACUCUUUGAUAGUCUUAUGAAUGUGUGUAUCCGAAUUGGUCUUUGUGAUCAAUACAAGUCAUAUAUAUAUAUACAACUUUCAGCAACGGAUCUCUUGGCUCUCGCAUCGAUGAAGAACGCAGCGAAAUGCGAUAAGUAAUGUGAAUUGCAGAAUUCAGUGAAUCAUCGAAUCUUUGAACGCACCUUGCACUCCUUGGGUAUUCCGAGGAGUAUGCCUGUUUGAGUGUCAUUAUAUUCUCAAAAACCUAGGUGUUCUCUGAAUGACUAGGCUUUUUGGAUGUGAGGGAUUGCUGGCUUUCUAUCGAGUCCGGCUCCCUUCAAAUGUAUUAGUGGUUGCUUCAUUCACUAGAGUGUGAUAGUAUAUCUACGCUUGUUACAGUGAACUUGAAUAUAAAUCAUCUGCUUUCCAACUGUCUUGAAACAUAACAGGACAUAUUUUGACUAUUUGACCUCAAAUCAGGUAGGACUACCCGCUGAACUUAAGCAUACAUA
rnacentral:misc_RNA from 1 species